GGUAAAACAGCAACACAUCUUUCCAUAAUUAAACAAAUGCAACACAACUUUACAUAGUUAAAGAAACACUUUUCAACAUAAAACAAAUGCAACACAUCUUUGCAUAAAGAAACAAAUAUUCUGAAACAAGUGAUGACUCUUACAGACCCCCUUUCUUCUAGCAGCAGGUAGUUGGUGGCCACCCUCUCCCUUGGGGCUUCAGUGCCCUAGGGUUGGUGUUUCAUAAAUCCCAGAGCAGGAACUGAGAAUUUAAGAGCUCCAUCUGGCUGGGGAGCUGGCCAGGAACACAGCCAGAGGACAAAAACAAUAACACUUCUCUGCUUCCGGCUUGUUCUUUCUGAAGUGUUUAGGGCCUAGCCACCUCAGUCAGAAGGUGAGAAAGUGCAGAAUGGUCCCAUUGCCUACGCAUAUGUGGUCCCCACCAGCUUCCUUCUGGGAAAAGCUGAGGAAGGUGUGAGGACCUGAGAAGAAGGAAGCUUUGCAGGAGCAUUUGUGUGAGGAAGGGGAGAAAUUAGACAGGGCAGAUUCCUUCUCAGCCCUGGACGGUCCUGAAUGCGCUCAGUUUACCAUCUUGGUGGAUAGUGGAACUGGUGCCAGGGCAGGAAGCAAAGCGGAUCUGCCUUUUUAUGGGCCAACAGCCUGUGGACUUCCGGGACUCUGCCUCAAGCCACUUAGCACUGGCCCUUUCCUACUUGGACAAGAAUGAGAUUCACUAUCAGCUGGCCGAGCAGGAGAAGGAGUGGGAACAUUCUGCUGCUUUUUUUUUCUUCCACCUUUCCUUUACAAGCAGGAAGUGACCCUGCCCAGUUCUAGUGUGUGUCCAGAACUGCCCCCAGAAGCCAGUUAACUUCUUCUGUUUCCAGCCUUUCAUUCCAUUAAGACCCCACCAAAGAUGUUCCAUGUAUGCACCCCCUUGCAUAAAGGGCAUGAAGAUGAAUUACCUGGAGGCUGUUUGCAGCCGCAAGUCCCUUUCCAUGUGCCUUGGAAGUCCCUAGACUCAUUGCUCACCCCAGGAGCAGGACAGUUGGGGGAAGCACCCCCCACCUCCCCCAGCUCUAAAGAGAGCAGACAUUCUACAGUCACCAUCGCCCAGUCCACCAGUCCCCACCACCGACAUUCCCUGGGAUUUUGUCAACUGAGCCUGUGGGCCCUCUUGGCUGUGUGACCAUGGCGGAACUCUUCUCCCAUCUGGUCUGAAGGCUGGAAAUUCCCACCUCUGCUGUUCGAUUCAUCCUCCGAUUCGGCCACGAUUUCCUAACACUGACCAGAGGAGACCUUGACUUUGCCAUCUCUGCAUCAUCGUCCGUCGAUCGGAUCUGGAAGACCCAAGAAUGUUUAAUGCCUUUGGGUUUGACUAUCUCAAUUCUCUCUCUUAAAUAUGACAAGGCUCUGGUCUAGAUGCAAAGCAUCCUUAGCUGAGCCUUGCUCGGCCGUGUCUGGUGCCGUAUAGAGGGUCAGUGGGGAGGCCUGUCGGGACACUGAAUAGGAAGGACUCUGGACCCACAGGAAGGACUCACGGAGGUAAAGGAAACCAGCAGGUGCAAUUUGCUGCUGCUGAAAAUGCCCUUGACUCCUGAGGGAAGGAGUGAUUUUCAGAAACACCUGGGAUAGACCUCUCUGGCUCCCAUCCAGCAGCCUGUGGGGGCAAGUAAAUCCUAAUCACCUGGGGGAGCCCAUGGACUUGAGUGGUGCAGUGUUGGAGCAGACGCUGCUACGCGGCACUCCCAAGUUAUAUGGAUGGCGAUGUUCUGUUUGCGGAGCCAUGUGGGGCACGUGACCUGCUGGCACUCUACGGGCAGCUGAAGUCUCUCCAUAAGAGAGAAGUGACCGAACAGAGAGACACUGGGUGACUUUGAUGGGCCAUGGUGGGUGCCUCUGGCCAACACCUAAUGUUUCAUGGACUGGCUGUAGCAGUGGCCCGGAUGCUGUCGACUGGGCAUUGAUGCCAUUGGGUUUGAAUAGGAGGCGAGGCCAUCAGUCAGCUGGAGACAUUCGCACCCUACACGGUUUCAAGAGUGGAUGCUACUGGAAAUGUGGCCCUGACAUUGCUUCUGCGCUAGUCUGACCUUGGCCACGGAGGUUACAUAAGGAAACUUGAAUAAUUCUGAGGGCUUGAGACAUCUUGGAUUCCAAGUACAUCCACUGCUCAGCCACGCUCUGUGCCAGCUGCCAGUGCCUCCCCCACUACUUGUCAGUACAUAAUCUGCCCCAUUACACUGAUUUAGGAGAAAAACGCAGUUCGUUUAACUUUUGUUCCUAAAGAAUGAGAAGAACUUCUGUUGGGAGCAGUUAAGGACAGAGAACCAGAAUGCCUCAACCAAGGGCAGACAUGGAGGACACAAUGGUGCCGACGGUUGCCGAUGCCCGUGCAAGAUGCGUCCCGUUUAGACAUGGCAUCUCACCAGCCAGCGUCGUAUUCACAAUCCAAUUCUCAGCCACGUCCUCUGAACAGAUGGGAUACCAAGAUAGGCGGGUCAAAAGUGUUGGGAAUGGAUUUAUACAACGGACGUCUGAAGGAUAAAAACGGGCAAGGCGGCCUGAUGAAAGUCCAACACCAUUUCCAGAAGCUGUGUGCGGCUGUGUGGAGGAGGCACAGGGGACCCAGGAUCGGGACAGGACUCCCAUGCUUAUGAUGUGUGUGACCAAGGGUAUAUGGCAGAGUGUUUAGAAUCGAACCCUAGAGGACAAGUGCCUCUCACUGGCUGUGGGAACUUGAGUGAUUUCAUUUUUCUUUGCCUCGCUUUUCUUAUAGAAAAUGAAGAUAAAGAUCAACAAAAUAUGUGUUAGCUUGUCAUCACAGGAAGACUGAAUAAGAAGCCAUGAUUGAUAUAUUUCCUAGUGUUUAUCAUACUUUAUUUCAAUUUCCCUCUUUUAGGGCAGAAAGAAUGCAAACAUAUUCCAUAUGCCUUUCACUGUGAGUUGGGUUUGGCCAGUUGGGUCUUCAUGGAAGUGAUACAAGCCACUCAAAUCCCUGGCUGAUAGAUUUCCUACAGUUUUCUUUUCCUUCUCUAGCAACCCUGAAAGCCAAUGAUGAGUCAGCAACAAUCAGCCUGGGGCCCUAAGAGAUUAUAUGGGGGGGGGGGGGGGCCGCCACUCCCACCCUAUAAAUAUAAUACUUAUAUAAACACUAUGGAAUUAAAUUCUCAGCAACAUAUCAAAA